GGCAGAGGUUGCUGUGAGCCGAGAUCGCGCCAUUGCACUCCAGCCUGGGCAACAAGAGCAAAACUCUGUCUUAAAAAACAAACAAAAAAAAGCUUUUAUUAAAGAUACUAAUUAAAAUCAGACUUCAUUAUGUUUUAAGUAUCUCAAGCUAUAAAUCCUGUGACUACAUUUAUCUUGAAUUGUUGACUGGUUUACUGCUUGUUAUUUUAUGUGCAUUAAAGCAUUUAUUUACUCGUGUAUCUGUUAGAUAAGUCCCGGUAAAGAGAACAGAAAGUAGUAUGCUUCUCCCAACAGUUUAUACUAUACUGGGGAGUAAACAUGUAAAGAAAUGAAGCCAUGGAAUACAUGUUAAAGUUGUAUUCAUUUGUAAUUUCAGUAUCCAUAUAUUCCGGCACAUAUUACAAAGCCUAAGGAACAUAAGAAGUUGUUUCUGGUUCAGCUUCAAGAAAAAGCCUUGUUUGCAGUCCCUAAAAAUUACAAGCUGGUAGCUGCACCAUUGUUUGAAUUGUAUGACAAUGCACCAGGAUAUGGACCCAUCAUUUCUAGUCUCCCUCAGCUGUUGAGCAGGUAC
rnacentral:sRNA from 1 species